AUGAACGCUAGCGACAGGCUUAACACAUGCAAGUCGAGGGGCAGCGGGGGAUAAGCUUGCUUUUCCUGCCGGCGACCGGCGCACGGGUGAGUAACACGUAUGCAACCUGCCCCUGUCAGAGGGAUAAUCCGGAGAAAUCCGGUCUAAUAUCGCAUAAAGCGUUUGCGGGGCAUCCUGCGAGCGCCAAAGGAGUAAUCCGGACAGGGAUGGGCAUGCGGCGCAUUAGCUAGUUGGGGGGGUAACGGCCCACCAAGGCGACGAUGCGUAGGGGUUCUGAGAGGAAGGUCCCCCACAUUGGUACUGAGACACGGACCAAACUCCUACGGGAGGCAGCAGUGAGGAAUAUUGGUCAAUGGGCGGAAGCCUGAACCAGCCAAGUCGCGUGAGGGAAGACGGCCCUAUGGGUUGUAAACCUCUUUUGCCGGGGAGCAAAAGCGCCGUGCGCGGUGCUAUGAGAGUACCCGGAGAAAAAGCAUCGGCUAACUCCGUGCCAGCAGCCGCGGUAAUACGGAGGAUGCGAGCGUUAUCCGGAUUUAUUGGGUUUAAAGGGUGCGUAGGCGGACAGUUAAGUCAGCGGUCAAAACGGGCGGCUCAACCGCCUGCCGCCGUUGAAACUGGCAGUCUAGAGUGGGCGAGAAGUACGCGGAAUGCGCGGUGUAGCGGUGAAAUGCAUAGAUAUUGCGCAGAACUCCGAUUGCGAAGGCAGCGUACCGGCGCCCGACUGACGCUGAGGCACGAAAGCGUGGGGAUCGAACAGGAUUAGAUACCCUGGUAGUCCACACUGUAAACGAUGAAUGCUAGGUGUAGGGGGUAUCGACCCCUUCUGUGCCGCAGUCAACACAAUAAGCAUUCCGCCUGGGGAGUACGGCCGCAAGGUUGAAACUCAAAGGAAUUGACGGGGACCCGCACAAGCGGUGGAGCAUGUGGUUUAAUUCGAAGCAACGCGAAGAACCUUACCAAGUCUUGACAUCCUUCUGACCGGACAGUAAUGUGUCCUUUCCUUCGGGACAGAAGAGACAGGUGGUGCAUGGUUGUCGUCAGCUCGUGCCGUGAGGUGUCGGCUUAAGUGCCAUAACGAGCGCAACCCCCAUCCGCAGUUGCCAGCAGGUAAAGCUGGGGACUCUGCGGAGACUGCCGGCGCAAGCUGAGAGGAAGGCGGGGAUGACGUCAAAUCAGCACGGCCCUUACGUCCGGGGCGACACACGUGUUACAAUGGCAGGGACAGAGGGAAGCCACCGGGCGACCGGGCGCGGACCCCGAAACCCUGUCUCAGUUCGGAUCGGAGUCUGCAACUCGACUCCGUGAAGCUGGAUUCGCUAGUAAUCGCGCAUCAGCCAUGGCGCGGUGAAUACGUUCCCGGGCCUUGUACACACCGCCCGUCAAGCCAUGGAAGCCGGGAGUGCCUGAAGUGCGUGACCGCAAGGAGCGCCCUAGGGUAAAACCGGUGACUGGGGCU
rnacentral:rRNA from 1 species